GUUGAAACGAUUAGGAAGUUUUCCCGCGUUCCGUUUAAUCUUGAGAAAAUUCCAAUCAGUUUCCCCGAGUAGAAUAUUGUGCUAUCUAAGUGUUAAGUGGUAGCAAGAAAGCCGUUCGACGGCUUUUCCUCUCGGAUUUAGGAAACACGGACAGCAUCCGCCAACAACUGUCAACGGGCAACCCGCCGGCCCAUAUCCAUCCGGAACCGGAAGGGCCGCGUCGUCAACAUCGCGCCCCAGCCCGUUCUACAUCGAGGUCCACGUGAGUACGCACCCGACUGGCAAAUCUCCUUCUGGUGUACCGCCACCACGUGUCUGUCGGGCCCAACGGACGUUGGAGCAUCGUCCUAUUAACAGUUCAUCGUCGGUGGAAUUCACCGUCCAUCGCUCGAGAAAACGGAAAUCGGUUAUCGAGAAAGGCUCACCCGCUCUGGUAGGUGAAUUCAUCGUCACGUUCUUCCCACGCCGGCGAACAAUAACCAUUCCCACGCUGUGCUAAGCGAAGCAAGCCGAGCCGAUAGACA